GCAGCUUACACAUGCAGUCGAGCGGCAGCACGGGAAGCUUGCUUCCUGGUGGCGAGCGGCGGACGGGUGAGUAAUGCAUAGAAAUCUGCCCGGUAGUGGGGGAUAACCUGGGGAAACCCAGGCUAAUACCGCAUACGUCCUACGGGAGAAAGCAGGGGAUCUUCGGACCUUGCGCUAUCGGAUGAGUCUAUGUCGGAUUAGCUUGUUGGUGAGGUAAUGGCUCACCAAGGCGACGAUCCGUAGCUGGUCUGAGAGGAUGAUCAGCCACAUCGGGACUGAGACACGGCCCGAACUCCUACGGGAGGCAGCAGUGGGGAAUAUUGGACAAUGGGCGAAAGCCUGAUCCAGCCAUGCCGCGUGUGUGAAGAAGGCCUUCGGGUUGUAAAGCACUUUCAGUGGGGAAGAAAGCCUUGGGGCUAAUACCCUCGAGGAAGGACAUCACCCACAGAAGAAGCACCGGCUAACUCCGUGCCAGCAGCCGCGGUAAUACGGAGGGUGCGAGCGUUAAUCGGAAUUACUGGGCGUAAAGCGCGCGUAGGCGGUCUGAUAAGCCGGUUGUGAAAGCCCCGGGCUCAACCUGGGAACGGCAUCCGGAACUGUCAGGCUAGAGUGCAGGAGAGGAAGGUAGAAUUCCCGGUGUAGCGGUGAAAUGCGUAGAGAUCGGGAGGAAUACCAGUGGCGAAGGCGGCCUUCUGGACUGACACUGACGCUGAGGUGCGAAAGCGUGGGUAGCAAACAGGAUUAGAUACCCUGGUAGUCCACGCCGUAAACGAUGUCGACUAGCCGUUGGGCUCCUUGAGAGCUUUGUGGCGCAGUUAACGCGAUAAGUCGACCGCCUGGGGAGUACGGCCGCAAGGUUAAAACUCAAAUGAAUUGACGGGGGCCCGCACAAGCGGUGGAGCAUGUGGUUUAAUUCGAUGCAACGCGAAGAACCUUACCUACCCUUGACAUCGUGCGAACUUUCCAGAGAUGGAUUGGUGCCUUCGGGAACGCACAGACAGGUGCUGCAUGGCUGUCGUCAGCUCGUGUUGUGAAAUGUUGGGUUAAGUCCCGUAACGAGCGCAACCCUUGUCCUUAUUUGCCAGCGAGUAAUGUCGGGAACUCUAAGGAGACUGCCGGUGACAAACCGGAGGAAGGUGGGGACGACGUCAAGUCAUCAUGGCCCUUACGGGUAGGGCUACACACGUGCUACAAUGGCCGGUACAAAGGGUUGCGAAGCCGCGAGGUGGAGCUAAUCCCGAAAAGCUGGUCUCAGUCCGGAUCGGAGUCUGCAACUCGACUCCGUGAAGUCGGAAUCGCUAGUAAUCGUGAAUCAGAAUGUCACGGUGAAUACGUUCCCGGGCCUUGUACACACCGCCCGUCACACCAUGGGAGUGGACUGCACCAGAAGUGGUUAGCCUAACUUCGGAGGGCGAUCACCACGGUGUGACUG
rnacentral:rRNA from 1 species